UUGCUACCGCAGUACAUGUACUAAAAUUGGAACGAUACAGAGAAGAUUAGCAUGGCCUUUGCGCAAGGUGACACCCAAAUUCGUGAAGCGUUCCAUAUUUUU
rnacentral:snRNA from 1 species